UAGUUAGGUUAUUGCUGAAAACAUAACAAAAUUGAACUAUCUUAAACAUUUCAGGUAUAAAAAAUCAUAAUUACAAUUCUGAAGUGGAAUAACGUAGGAGCAAAAAAGUAAAAGCAAAUCUAAUACAAGUAAAAUAGCAUUUCCAUUCAACUUCAUAUGAAGAAGUGAAGAGUGGUGGUGCAUUCGACAUGUUAUAAAAAUAUCCGGAAUUUUUCGGGGAGCUGAAUCUCGUGGCACUCCUCACCUCACCCCCCGAGAGCCCAUAAAUUCUUGAAAUACAGGGU
rnacentral:lncRNA from 1 species